AAAAGGUCAAAAAAAUCUUUCCGUACUAGCAUCAUUUAAGUUAAAUGUUCAAAACAUUUUCCGGACUAACAUCAGUUAAUUUAAAGGUUAAAAAUUUUUUUCGGAUAAAAUCAGUAAGUUAAGGCCAAAAAUUUUUUCCAGACAACUUCUUGUUAAAUUACAUUGGUAAAACCCUUUUUUGGUGCCAAUAUCUGCGAAAUUUAUGUUUCAGAAAUUUUUUUCUAACCAUUAAUUAUUUCAAAAAACGUUCCAAAUUAUUUUUUUUUAUUUUCCAAAUUUGGGACCCCCCUUACACUGGGGGCCCAGGACAAAUUGCCCCCGCUGCCCCUCCCCCCUCUGAUAGUCCCUGGGGAUAAAAGUAGUAUCACAAUUGAUAAGUAUGUAUAAUUAGGUAAGCGCAAUACUUCAUGAGCCAUAUAACUCUGUUCCAACGACAAUAAAAAUUCGAACGCUUUGAACAAUAGAAUGUGCAACCAAAGAGGUCGGCGUAGUUUUUCCCCACAUGCAGAGUAGCCUUAUUAAAUGAGCAAAACAAUUUAGUAAAACUAGAUAGACUGUUUAUACUGUCUUAUAUAAUUUUAUUACACUUUUAAAAAACAAGUCUUGGCAAUGUGAUUGGUCAGCGAAAAAAUUCGCCGCGAUCAGUUCUGCUUCACAUUCGCCCAGUGGAAACUGAAGGAUUUAAUACACAAAGUUAUAAAUAUUAUAGAUAUGCAGGACCGAUUUGUACUGUCCCAACGAUAAAUAUCCCAAAAAUAUUCAUUAUAGAAAGUAGAAGUAGAACUGAAUUAGUACAAUUUAAACUUUUUAGCCUAAUAUUUUUAACUCUGUCAUUCAAUUUAUUGAGUGAUAUGUAUCAUUAAUAACAAUAUACAUAAAAAUAUUACUUAACUGUGAUUGGUUGAUUCCAGUGCAGUCGUGCAAAAUUAAAUUCUGUAACAGCAGUGCAAAAAUCUGUAACAACCGUG